rnacentral:rRNA from 1 species
UGCGUAGGCGGAUUGAUAAGUCAGUGGUGAAAACCUUCAGCUUAACUGGAGACUUGCCAUUGAUACUGUUAGUCUUGAGUACGGUCAAGGUAGGCGGAAUGUGUAAUGUAGCGGUAAAAUGCUUAGAUAUUACACAGAACACCGAUUGCGAAGGCAGCUUACUGGGCCAUUACUGACGCUGAGGCACGAAAGCGUGGGGAGCGAACAGGAUUAGAUACCCUGGUAGUCC